rnacentral:rRNA from 1 species
AUUGAACGCUGGCGGCAGGCUUAACACAUGCAAGUCGAACGCAUCGCAAGAUGAGUGGCAGACGGGUGAGUAAUGCGUGGGAACAUACCCUUUUCUACGGAAUAGCCCUGGGAAACUGGAAUUAAUACCGUAUACGCCCUAAGGGGGGAAGAUUUAUCGGGGAAGGAUUGGCCCGCGUUGGAUUAGCUAGUUGGUGGGGUAAAGGCCUACCAAGGCGACGAUCCAUAGCUGGUCUGAGAGGAUGAUCAGACACAUUGGGACUGAGACACGGCCCAAACUACUACGGGAGGCAGCAGUGGGGAAUAUUGGACAAUGGGCGCAAGCCUGAUCCAGCCAUGCCGCGUGAGUGAUGAAGGCCUUAGGGUUGUAAAGCUCUUUCACCGAUGAAGAUAAUGGCGGUAGUCGGAGAAGAAGCCCCGGCUAACUUCGUGCCAGCAGCCGCCGUAA